rnacentral:rRNA from 1 species
UACGUAGGGGGCGAGCGUUGUCCGGAUUUAUUGGGCGUAAAGAGCGUGUAGGCGGUUCGGUAAGUCUGUCGUGAAAUCCUGAGGCUCAACCUCGGGCGUGCGAUGGAUACUGCCGGGCUAGAGGAUGGUAGAGGCGAGUGGAAUUCCCGGUGUAGCGGUGAAAUGCGCAGAUAUCGGGAGGAACACCAGUAGCGAAGGCGGCUCACUGGCCCGGUACUGACGCUGAGGUGCGAAAGCGUGGGGAGCAAACAGG